rnacentral:rRNA from 1 species
GAUGAACGCUAGCGGGAGGCUUAACACAUGCAAGUCGAGGGGUAAAUGGUAGCAAUACUAUGAGACCGGCGGACGGGUGCGUAACGCGUAUGCAACAUACCUUGUGCAGGGGGAUAGCCCGUGGAAACGCGGAUUAAUAUUCCAUAGUCCAGCUAUAUCGCAUGGUAUAGUUGGUAAAGAUUUAUCGGCACAAGUUUGGCAUGCGUCUGAUUAGCUUGUUGGUAGGGUAACGGCCUACCAAGGCUACGAUCAGUAGGGGUUCUGAGAGGAUUAACCCCCACACUGGUACUGAGACACGGACCAGACUCCUACGGGAGGCAGCAGUGAGGAAUAUUGGUCAAAUGGGCGGAAGCCUGAACCAGCCAUCCCGCGUGAAGGAAGACAGCCUUACGGGUUGUAAACUUCUUUUCUGUCAGAAGAAUAAGCUUGUCGAGACGAGUGAUGCCGGUAUGACAGGAAAUAAGCAUCGGCUAACUCCGUGCCAGCCAGCCGCGGU